AAAGAAAGAGAAGAAGAAGAAAUAGAAGUUGAAGAACCUGCCAAGGAAUAAGACUCCCAAGGAAGAACAUUCAUGAAAAUGAAAAGAUAACUGAAGUCUAAAUGUGCAUCUAACUAGACGGUGCCGGAAGACAGCAGUAACCAAGGAACUAAUUAAGCUGCGGAAAAGAGUUCCAAAUGAGAAAAAUAGAAAGCUGCGGAUC
rnacentral:misc_RNA from 1 species